UUAGUUCGGUUUAUUAGCAUUUUAACCGGCAUUUACGAUUAAAUGUAGUUAAUACAGUGAUUUAUGAAUAGUGUAGGGACAUCGAUAAGGACACUCUCAAGGAACCAAAUUUCUUGCAAACUUAAGUUAUGCAGCAAGUUUUGCAAUCAAAUCUUCAUAUCUGACGACACUACUAGAUAAGCACGAGCUUAGAGCACGCUUUCUCUCCUGCACUCUUCGUACCGAGGUGAUUAAGAAGAUGAUGGAAGGUUGCAGCACCAAGUCGACCGUCCGUGACCUUCCUGCUGCCAUUUGCCGCCUUUCGCCUCACUUCGUGCUACGUCUCUACUUCUUAAACCGUCUAGAACAGAACCAAGGAACCAACAAAUAUUGCUCCGGUUCUUGCAAGAUGGCGUUCAACUGGCGGCUUUUACUAUACCAGAAGACUUCUGAUCUUACACAAUAAAAAUCUUCCUGAUUCGUGAACGCUCUAUUUCAUUUUUGUACUAUUUUCAUAUAAUUUCGGUCAGUAAUUGACUUCCCGCGUGAAUGUAUUGGCUCAUCUUCUAAUCUACGCAGUUCGUAUCCGCUGUAGAAAUUAUCUCUCAGGAAGUGUUAAAACCGGCUACUGUAUCUCGUUUACUCUUUCGCACUUAUUUACAUAUUAUAUGAAAUUAGCCCAGAAAAUGCCGACAGAUUUAUAUAUGUGCCGUAACGUUUCAGUAAAGUGAUUGAUAAUUUAUAUGAGUUAUU